AGUUCGAAUAUUCAUCCAUCUCAAAGGGAUAAAUGAUAAAAUUCAAGUGCAUGAACCUACAAUCCUAUAAAUACCCCCUUAUUCCUAACAUUUGAAGUUCGAAUAUUCAAUACCAUCUCUCACAAAUAUCCCAAAUCUUCACUAUUCCACUCUCUUAUUAGACAAACACAGAAAUCAGGAGCUCCAGUUUCAAAAACACCGCCACAACAUGUACGAACAGAGUAAUUAUGAGUCCGAUUGGGCCCUUGUAGACUCCCUUCGCCGCCACUUCCUGGGUGAGUCCGAACAAAGAUUCGGAGCCCCGACAUCAGUUCCGGGUAACGCCCGGGUUUACUCUCGGAGCUCCAGUUUCAGCAGCUUGUAUCCGUGUCUGAGUGAAGAUUGGGGCGAGCUCCCUCUCAAGGAAGAUGAUUCCGAAGACAUGGUGCUCUACGGCGUGCUACGCGACGCCGUUAACGUCGGGUGGGUCCCGUCCCUCCAUGCCGGGUGCGGGUCACCUGAAAGUUUCUCGUCGGGUUUGGUGAUCAAGCCGGAGCCGGACGUCAUGCCGGUGAGAGAGAGCUUCCCGGCAGUAGUACCGGAGCCUCCGAAGGUGACUCCGGCGAAGGGGAAGCACUACCGCGGCGUGAGGCAGCGGCCGUGGGGGAAGUUUGCGGCGGAGAUCCGGGACCCGGCCAAAAACGGGGCUCGGGUCUGGCUCGGAACGUUUGAGACCGCCGAGGAUGCCGCGUUGGCUUACGAUCGAGCUGCGUACAGGAUGAGGGGCUCGAGGGCGAUGCUAAAUUUUCCGCUCCGGGUAAACUCCGGUGAACCCGACCCGGUUAGAGUGGCUUCGAAGCGGUCUUCGUCGGAGAGUUGCUCUUCUUCGUCGGAGAGUGGGUCGCCGGCGAAGAGGAAGAAGGUGGUGGUGACUGCCCAGGUGGGAUUGAAAACGGGGCAAGUGGGAAGUCAAGUGGCACAGGUUACACCUGGCGAGCAGUUAUUGGUCAGUUAAUGCUGACAAGGAUGCAAUGUGGGGUCGUGUAAAUACACUAUGAGAAAUUUUUAGAGUUGCUAGUAGUAGUAUUGUUGUGUUUGUUCAAUCCAAUUUGUAAUUAUCUGAGAUGUGUGUAUGCCACUUCCUGCUCCUUUGAGCCACAUGCCAAUCCAUGGUCCAACAAAAUUUUGGGA